rnacentral:rRNA from 1 species
UACGUAGGAUGCAAGCGUUGUCCGGAAUUACUGGGCGUAAAGAGCUCGUAGGUGGUUUGUCGCGUUGUUCGUGAAAACUCACAGCUCAACUGUGGGCGUGCGGGCGAUACGGGCAGACUGGAGUACUGCAGGGGAGACUGGAAUUCCUGGUGUAGCGGUGGAAUGCGCAGAUAUCAGGAGGAACACCGGUGGCGAAGGCGGGUCUCUGGGCCGAUACUGACGCUGAGAAGUGAAAGCGUGGGGAGCGAACAGG